rnacentral:lncRNA from 10 species
GAGACAUCCUCAAUUACUUGGAGAGCUAUCAUGAGUGAGGGGUGUUGUUCUCAGUGGUUCUAAGGGUCAGAGUUGAGGCCACUCAGUGAGGCUCAUGGUGGUGUGUCUGUUCCUAAGAAAAGUAUUUCCAAAGGGAGAGCACUGGCAUGACAUGAAGUGAUGAAAACGGUGCAGCAAAAGUACAGUGAGGAAGGAAGGAAGGAAGGAAGGUGAGAAAGGAAGGACGGCGAGGAAGGAAGGACAGUGAGGAAGGAAGGACGGCAAGGAAGGAUGGAUGGAUGGCAAGGAAGGAAGGAAGGAAGUACGGCAAGGAUGCUGCAGGAGGGAGCGCUGCUGCUAGGGGAAUGCUGGUCCCGACUUCUAGCUCCCUUCCAACUCCCUAGAAUGCAAGGAUCAACAGCGAAGGAUCAUGUGUGGGGAUAUUCUCUCCCUCCUUUCCUUCCUUUCUUCCUUCCUUCCCUCCCUCCCUCCUUCCUUCCCUUCCUCCUUUCUUCCUUCCUUCCCUCCUUUCCUUCCUCCCCUUCUUCCUUCUUUCCUUCCCUUUUUCCUUCCUUCCUUUCUUCCUUCCUCUCCUUCUUCCUUCCUUCCCUUCGCCCUUCCUUUCUUCCUCCUUCCUUUCUUCCUUCCUUCCCUCUCUCCUUCCUUUCUUCCUUCUUUCCCUCCCUCCUUCCUUUCUUCCUUCUUUCCCUCCCUCCUUCCUUUCUUCCUUCUUUCCUUCCUUCCUUCCUCCUUUCCUUCCUUCCUCCCUCCCCUUCUUCCUUCUUCCUUCCCUCCCUCCUUCCUUCCUUCCCUCCCUCCUUCCUUCCCUCCCUCCUUCCUUCCCUCCCUCCUUCCUUCCUUCCCUCCCUC